GACGAACGCUGGCGGCGUGCUUAACACAUGCAAGUCGAACGGAAAGGCCCUUCGGGGUACUCGAGUGGCGAACGGGUGAGUAACACGUGGGUGAUCUGCCCUGCACUUUGGGAUAAGCCUGGGAAACUGGGUCUAAUACCGAACAGGACCGCAUGCUUCAUGGUGUGUGGUGGAAAGCUUUUGCGGUGUGGGAUGGGCCCGCGGCCUAUCAGCUUGUUGGUGGGGUAAUGGCCUACCAAGGCGACGACGGGUAGCCGGCCUGAGAGGGUGACCGGCCACACUGGGACUGAGAUACGGCCCAGACUCCUACGGGAGGCAGCCGUGGGGAAUAUUGCACAGUGGGCGCAAGCCUGAUGCAGCGACGCCGCGUGAGGGAUGACGGCCUUCGGGUUGUAAACCUCUUUCAGCAGGGACGAAGCGCAAGUGACGGUACCUGCAGAAGAAGGACCGGCCAACUACGUGCCAGCAGCCGCCGUAA
rnacentral:rRNA from 1 species